UGACGGUCUGUAUUUCUAAAGAAUAUUUUACAGCGAUGAAUUGUUGAAGAAUAAUUAUGCAGUCAUGUGUAGAUUUGGCUGAAAGAAAUGAUGUUUUAAUUAAUUCCAAUGGAGAACCAAAUAGUUCCAAUGUAUCUGGAAAGGCAAAAUGCUCUAUAACACUUUGGCGGCCAUACCUCAUUUGCAAGUCUUACUUCCUUCUAUACAAGCUUAUGAGGCUCUUGAUUUGCUAAAGACGCAUGAGCUAGUGACACCUGAAGAGAGUGAUGGGAGCACAUCUCAGAAAUGUUUCUCAUCACUGUCUACAAGUAUAAGGCAACUUCUUUCGUUCAAGGAAAUCAACAAAAUAGAUA